GAUGAACGCUAGCUACAGGUCUUAACACAUGCAAGUCGAGGGGCAUCAGGAAGAAAGCUUGCUUUCUUUGCUGGCGACCGGCGCACGGGUGAGUAACACGUAUCCAACCUGCCCUUUACUCGGGGAUAGCCUUUCGAAAGAAAGAUUAAUACCCGAUAGCAUAAUGAUUCCGCAUGGUUUCAUUAUUAAAGGAUUUCGGUAAAGGAUGGGGAUGCGUUCCAUUAGGUUGUUGGUGAGGUAACGGCUCACCAAGCCUUCGAUGGAUAGGGGUUCUGAGAGGAAGGUCCCCCACAUUGGAACUGAGACACGGUCCAAACUCCUACGGGAGGCAGCAGUGAGGAAUAUUGGUCAAUGGGCGUUAGCCUGAACCAGCCAAGUAGCGUGAAGGAUGAAGGCUCUAUGGGUCGUAAACUUCUUUUAUAUAAGAAUAAAGUGCAGUAUGUAUACUGUUUUGUAUGUAUUAUAUGAAUAAGGAUCGGCUAACUCCGUGCCAGCAGCCGCGGUAAUACGGAGGAUCCGAGCGUUAUCCGGAUUUAUUGGGUUUAAAGGGAGCGUAGGUGGACUGGUAAGUCAGUUGUGAAAGUUUGCGGCUCAACCGUAAAAUUGCAGUUGAUACUGUCAGUCUUGAGUACAGUAGAGGUGGGCGGAAUUCGUGGUGUAGCGGUGAAAUGCUUAGAUAUCACGAAGAACUCCGAUUGCGAAGGCAGCUCACUGGACUGCAACUGACACUGAUGCUCGAAAGUGUGGGUAUCANACAGG
rnacentral:rRNA from 1 species